rnacentral:rRNA from 1 species
UACAGAGGAUGCAAGCGUUAUCCGGAAUGAUUGGGCGUAAAGCGUCUGUAGGUGGCUUUUUAAGUCCGCCAUCAAAUCCCAGGGCUCAACUCUGGACAGGCGGUGGAAACUACCAAGCUAAAGUACGAUAAGGGCAGAGGGAAUUUCCGGUGGAGCGGUGAAAUGCGUAGAGAUCGGAAAGAACACCUGUGGCGAAGGCGGUCUGCUGGGCAGUUGCUGACACUGAGGCGCGACAGCGUGGGGAGCAAACAGG